AAGUGAUGCUUUCUGUUUUGUUUCCAGAUUGAAAAUGGAGUUGCUGAGAUAAGUUUUAACAGUAAGAAAGCAGCAAGUUCUCUAGGGUUUGACAGUCUGGAAGCACUGGACGGGUCCUAUUUCUAUAUUGUGGCAUCAGUGUUGGAGUCUAUGGCUCUAUUUUAGGAACCCUGGAAAAGCAAGCCCUUCUUCACGAGGAACCGCUUUGUCUUGAAAGUCAAUGUGUCUCGCAAGAGGUGCUGCAAAGGGUGUCUGUGGGCAUGGCAGCCGGGGAAAGGUGCUGGGAAGGAGCUGCUCAGAAAUCCAGAAGCAGCGGUGGAUUGGGAGCUGGGGGUCCUGCCUCGGUCCCACCCUCUUGGACACUCUGGGUCAAGGGAGCUGGCAAAAAAGGAGAGAGCCACUAGGAAGCGAAGCCGCCCGAAGGCCUUUUCCCAGGCCAGGGUUCCUGCUUUUCUCUCUGACUCCUGGAUAAUUGCUUGAGUGUAACCAGCGAGUGUCCGUUUGAUUUCCUGCCUUUUCCACUAAAUCCUUGCCUUCAGCUGGAGUGUGUUCCUGGUGUCAUCCUCCUCCUCCUGCAUGGAUUUGUAAGUAAAGUUCCUGACUUCUGCCCCACUGAAUUUUGUUCUUCCAGCAAUUGUGGCUCUCUCGCUCCACUGAAACUUCCCCGCUCUGCCGAGAGUCUCAGAUGUCAAAUCCAAGUAAGACUGGAGUUUCUUUGGAUUGCUACUCGCCCAAAAUACAGAUAAUUCUUGGGGAAGUGUAAGCUGACAUGUUUAGUUCUCACUUGCCUUUAAAAUCAGAGCAGAGGAGGCAGAUUUUAAAUCAUCCUUCCAUGAACUUCCACCAACCUCCUCACUGUUCCAAAAGUUUUCAGUGUUAGACAUUCCCAAGCUUGUUUUCCAGGCAAGCUGGGAUUUGGGUGUUCUUCCUUCCUUUUAUUUCAUGGUUUUCCUCUCUCUGAUUUGAGUGAGGGGAUAUUUAUUGCAAAUGCCGGUUUUCCAUCCCAACUGGCAUUUUUGUACAUCUUAGGGCCCAUUUCCAAGGAAAUUUGCCAAAAGAGUGUCAGUAAAUCGGCAUUGUGGAGCACCAUCUCUGCAGAAUGUUGUAAAUUCCCAGGAAAACUUGCUGAGUGUUUAAUUGCCGUCAUGACUCUCUCUGUAAAGUUCAAUUUACUGCAUUUUGAAUGACACCAAUCCCACGAAUACUUAAAUCCUGGCCUAAUUGCUGUUGCUUGGACACAAGGGGCAGGUUCUUUCCUGCCUUGGCACAGUUGGAUGUUCAUCCAAAGUGAGGUUCCCGCUCAAAUAGAAUUGGUUUCCAAGCAAAACUGGGAAUUGUCUAAAAACCUUCUUGUCUGGGAGGCACUGGGUUUGUUUUCCCCAUCCCUGUGAAGUGCAGGAUACUGCUGGAGCUGUGUUAGGCAGUGGCAGGAGAGGAGAGCUGCAUUUUUUUUGU